AACCAUUCUUGAGCAGCAAUACUUCUUUGCCUGAAACUGAACUGCCCAUUCCAUUGGUUUUCUCACCAAAAAGUUGAAGAAGAAUCUAUAAAAACUGAGCGUUUUUAAUUGCUAGUAUUUUAAUAGCUUUAGGGAGGUAUCGUUAACAUACAGCCAACUGCAAAUAUUUAAAGUAUACAACUUGAUUUGAAUCUACCCUUAAACAUAAAGCUUGCUUCAAAUGACCAAGAGAAGAAUUCAUAGAACUUGACCCAUUUGCCAGGUGCAGUGGCUCAUGCCUGUAAUCCCAGCACUUUGGGAGGCUGAGGUGGACAGAUCGCUUGAGGUCAAGAAUUCGAGACCAGCCUGGCCAACAUGAUGAAACCCCAUGUCUACUAAUAAUAUAAGAAUUAGCCAGGCGUGGCGGUGUGCGCCUGUAAUCCCAGCUACUUGGGAGGCUGAGGGAGGUGAAUUGCUUGAA